UAAGUUUACAUAUAAAAUGAGUUUACGAAACUCACUAAAGCAUACGGUCUCAAUCUUGUGCAGAUUAUAAGCAAAAACUCAGUUAAAUCU